AAGGAUUCCCCUAGUAACUGCGAGUGAAGCGGGAAAAGCUCAAAUUUAAAAUCUGGCGGUCUUGGGCCGUCCGAGUUGUAAUCUAGAGAAGUGUUAUCCGCGCUGGACCGUGUACAAGUCUCCUGGAAUGGAGCGUCAUAGAGGGUGAGAAUCCCGUCUUUGACACGGACUACCAGGGCUUUGUGAUGCGCUCUCAAAGAGUCGAGUUGUUUGGGAAUGCAGCUCAAAAUGGGUGGUAAAUUCCAUCUAAAGCUAAAUAUUGGCGAGAGACCGAUAGCGAACAAGUACCGUGAGGGAAAGAUGAAAAGAACUUUGGAAAGAGAGUUAAACAGUACGUGAAAUUGCUGAAAGGGAAACGCUUGAAGUCAGUCGCGUUGACCAGGGAUCAACCUUGCUUUUGCUUGGCGUAUUUCCUGGUUUACGGGUCAGCAUCAAUUUUGACCGUUGGAAAAAGUGCAAAGGAAUGUGGCAUCCUUUUGGAUGUGUUAUAGCCCUUGCUCGUAUACAACGGUUGGGAUUGAGGAACUCAGCACGCCGCAAGGCCGGGUUUUUAACCACGUUCGUGCUUAGGAUGCUGGCAUAAUGGCUUUAAUCGACCCGUCUUGAAACACGGACCAAGGAGUCUAACAUGCCUGCGAGUGUUUGGGUGGAAAACCCGAGCGCGCAAUGAAAGUGAAAGUUGAGAUCCCUGUCGUGGGGAGCAUCGACGCCCGGACCAGACCUUUUGUGACGGAUCCGCGGUAGAGCAUGUAUGUUGGGACCCGAAAGAUGGUGAACUAUGCCUGAAUAGGGUGAAGCCAGAGGAAACUCUGGUGGAGGCUCGUAGCGAUUCUGACGUGCAAAUCGAUCGUCAAAUUUGGGUAUAGGGGCGAAAGACUAAUCG
rnacentral:rRNA from 1 species